AGAGUUUGAUUCUGGCUCAGAACGAGCGCUGGCAGCGUGGAUUAGGCAUGCAAGUCGAACGAGAAGCCCUGGUCUCAAUCUUCGGAGAGAAACCAGGGUGGAAAGUGGCGGAAGGGUGAGUAACGCGUGGGUAACCUGCCUCUGAGUUGGGGACAACCCCUCGAAAGGGGGGCUAAUACCGAAUACGGUCUUCUUGGGCAUCCAAGAAUGACUAAAGGUGGGGAUUCUUCGGAACCUGUCGCUCGGAGAGGGACUCGCGUACCAUCAGCUUGUUGGUGAGGUAACGGCUCACCAAGGCUCCGACGGUUAGCUGGUCUGAGAGGAUGGUCAGCCACACUGGGACUGAGACACUGCCCAGACUCCUACGGGAGGCUGCAGUCGAGGAUCAUAGUCAAUGCGCGGAAGCGUGAACUUGCGACGCUGCGUGGAGGAUGACGGCCCUAGGGUUGUAAACUCCUGUCAUGGGGGAAAAAUCCUCCUGUCCUGAAUACGGGCGGGAGUUGAUGGUACCUCAAGAGGAAGCCACGGCUAACUCUGUGCCAGCAGCCGCGGUAAUACAGAGGUGGCGAGCGUUGUUCGGAUUUACUGGGCGUAAAGCGUGCGUAGGUGGCAUCGUGUGUCGGAUGUGAAAGCUCAUGGCUCAACCGUGAAACUGCAUUCGAAACUGCGGAGCUAGAGUACAGGAGGGGAGAGCGGAAUUCUUGGUGUAGCGGUGAAAUGCGUUGAUAUCAAGAAGAACACCGGUGGCGAAGGCGGCUCUCUGGAAUGUUACUGACACUGAGGCACGAAAGCUGGGGGAGCGAACAGGAUUAGAUACCCUGGUAGUCCCAGCUGUAAACGGUGUGCACUUGGUGUGGGGGGUAUUGACCCCCCCCGUGCCGGAGCUAACGCGUUAAGUGCACCGCCUGGGGAGUACGGCCGCAAGGCUAAAACUCAAAGAAAUUGACGGGGGCCCGCACAAGCGGAGGAGCAUGUGGCUUAAUUCGAUGCAACGCGAAGAACCUUACCAGGACUUGACAUGCAGCUGCACGUCCGGUGAAAGUCGGAAAGCCUUCGAGGGUGCUGCACAGGUGCUGCAUGGCUGUCGUCAGUUCGUGCCGUGAGGUGUUGGGUUAAGUCCCGCAACGAACGCAACCCCUGUGGUUAGUUGCCACCACCGGUGAUGAGCCGGUGAGCACUCUAGCCAGACUGCCCGUACAAGCGGGAGGAAGGUGGGGACGACGUCAAGUCAGUAUGGCCCUUACGUCCUGGGCUGCACACGUGCUACAAUGGUCGGUACAGAGGGACGCAAUGCCGCGAGGUGGAGCAAAUCCCCAAAGCCGGCCUCAGUUCGGAUAGGAGUCUGCAACUCGACUCCUUGAAGUCGGAUUCGCUAGUAACGGCGUAUCAGCUACGACGCCGUGAAUACGUUCCCGGGCCUUGUACACACCGCCCGUCACAUCAUGAAAGCCGUCUGCACCCGAAGUCGCUGAGCCAACCCGCAAGGGAGGCAGGUGCCG
rnacentral:rRNA from 1 species